rnacentral:lncRNA from 1 species
CCAACGCAGCGCCUCCACUACCACCACGUCACACCUCUCUAUACACAUAGCUCUGGAUCUAACCGCAACUGAAGUUGUAGUAGCUACAGAUCGGCGCUAUGUACAGAUCUAGGCAACUCCAUCUCGCCGCAAUUCACCACGCCGCCACAAGCAGCGGAAGAACUAUGCGACGAUGAAUGAGGCCCUCACCGUCGCACUGCUCGGUCUAUCCGUCAGAGAAAUGAUGGAAAGAGGAUAAGAGAUGGGAGAGAGGCGAGUUAGAGAGAGAAUAUUUUAGGGUUGGUGAUUUUAG